GAUGAACGCUGGCGGCGUGCCUAAUACAUGCAAGUCGAGCGAACGGACGAGAAGCUUGCUUUUCUGAUGUUAGCGGCGGACGGGUGAGUAACACGUGGAUAACCUACCUAUAAGACUGGGAUAACUUCGGGAAACCGGAGCUAAUACCGGAUAAUAUUUUGAACCGCAUGGUUCAAAAGUGAAAGACGGUCUUGCUGUCACUUAUAGAUGGAUCCGCGCUGCAUUAGCUAGUUGGUAAGGUAACGGCUUACCAAGGCAACGAUGCAUAGCCGACCUGAGAGGGUGAUCGGCCACACUGGAACUGAGACACGGUCCAGACUCCUACGGGAGGCAGCAGUAGGGAAUCUUCCGCAAUGGGCGAAAGCCUGACGGAGCAACGCCGCGUGAGUGAUGAAGGUCUUCGGAUCGUAAAACUCUGUUAUUAGGGAAGAACAUAUGUGUAAGUAACUGUGCACAUCUUGACGGUACCUAAUCAGAAAGCCACGGCUAACUACGUGCCAGCAGCCGCGGUAAUACGUAGGUGGCAAGCGUUAUCCGGAAUUAUUGGGCGUAAAGCGCGCGUAGGCGGUUUUUUAAGUCUGAUGUGAAAGCCCACGGCUCAACCGUGGAGGGUCAUUGGAAACUGGAAAACUUGAGUGCAGAAGAGGAAAGUGGAAUUCCAUGUGUAGCGGUGAAAUGCGCAGAGAUGUGGAGGAACACCAGUGGCGAAGGCGACUUUCUGGUCUGUAACUGACGCUGAUGUGCGAAAGCGUGGGGAUCAAACAGGAUUAGAUACCCUGGUAGUCCACGCCGUAAACGAUGAGUGCUAAGUGUUAGGGGGUUUCCGCCCCUUAGUGCUGCAGCUAACGCAUUAAGCACUCCGCCUGGGGAGUACGACCGCAAGGUUGAAACUCAAAGGAAUUGACGGGGACCCGCACAAGCGGUGGAGCAUGUGGUCUAAUUCGAAGCAACGCGAAGAACCUUACCAAAUCUUGACAUCCUUUGACAACUCUAGAGAUAGAGCUUUCCCCUUCGGGGGACAAAGUGACAGGUGGUGCAUGGUUGUCGUCAGCUCGUGUCGUGAGAUGUUGGGUUAAGUCCCGCAACGAGCGCAACCCUUAAGCUUAGUUGCCAUCAUUAAGUUGGGCACUCUAAGUUGACUGCCGGUGACAAACCGGAGGAAGGUGGGGAUGACGUCAAAUCAUCAUGCCCCUUAUGAUUUGGGCUACACACGUGCUACAAUGGACAAUACAAAGGGCAGCGAAACCGCGAGGUCAAGCAAAUCCCAUAAAGUUGUUCUCAGUUCGGAUUGUAGUCUGCAACUCGACUACAUGAAGCUGGAAUCGCUAGUAAUCGUAGAUCAGCAUGCUACGGUGAAUACGCUCCCGGGUCU
rnacentral:rRNA from 1 species